UAUUGCAUAAAACAAUGAUGACAGGACCUGUGAACUUUAUUUAAGGAGCUAUCUCCAAAGAGAAUAGAUUAUACAUAGAGUGGAAUUUAAACAAUUCCUUCGUCAGUCCCUUUCAGCCUAAAAGCGAGUUUAAAGUGUACAAUUCAUGUAAAUAUUUACAAAUUAUACGCAGUAUAUCACACUAAUUUUUCUGUGAGAUAAUUUGAGUUUUUUAAACUUUACUUCUUCUUCACCAUCUUUCUUGAUCACCUGAACCACAUGAACUGUAUGAUCAUUACGAUAAGGAUGACCAUGACAAUGAUCAUGACACCAUGACCAUUGACCAUGACAUCAUGACCAAUGACGUUAGUGCUAAUGCAGGAGGAUAAAACUGAGGUUAGGCUACGAAAUAAAGCGUGUAAACUCCUGGAUAGACCUGCUCCGGCUCCGUACUUGAACCUGCUCCGUGAGGGUUAUGAAUUACGUAUUGGCUUCGGGUCAACUCAAACCUUCAAGAGGAAACUGUCAAAAGGUUUUGUCUGUACUCUAAGCUGGAAGGGCAUGAAGGUGUAUGGUGCAGUGAGCAGGAUAGCUUCAGAGUCAGAUGAUCUGAUGGUAAAGAUCUGGGAUUUGUAUCCUUUCCUACAUGAUACAGGGAGAACGUUUUUCAGUCUAAGUUUGUGAGCGGAGAUUUACUGAUAGCUUCAUGCAGCCGAGACGGUCCGGUUAGGCUGACUCAGCUCUGCCCGGCUGGUUAACUCAGGUAUGUCAUUCGGCCCUCAAGCUUGGUUCCAAAAUCGACCAACCCUACUAUUGGCGGUGUUCAAGAUUUAACUGGAGUUGAGUGCUACUAUUCUCCAUCUAUUCAACAUUACCUCCAGUGAAAAUGAAUUCCCACCAGAGUGGUCUCCAGUGGAGUCAAAAUCUUACUACGAACUUCCAUGAAUCUUGAACUAAGUCUCUUCACACGAUAAAAGAUUUUACGCAAAUGUUAUACAAAUCAAAAAGACGCUUCUUUCAUUGGAUAGAGCUUGAAGAUUUAAUCAAUGGGUGUUUUCCAAUUCGACCAAUGAGAGCUUGAGAAAUCCUCAAAAUAAAAUAUUCACAAAGUUAUUCAGUAUUACUUUCAAAACUAUUAAUUGUUAAGCAGCU